AUUAGUAACGACAUUCUGAAUGCUUGGGAGCUGAGCAAAAUAUGAGGAGAAGCAACCUGAUUUUUGUUUCAUAUUAUCAUCUCCUUUAUUCCAGCAACAAAAGACACUGAAAAUAGUAAAUGCCCACUUUCAACCAUGACAGCCCUUUUAGGAUAGUAACGGCAUUCCGUAUGAGGACAUCUGUCCCCACCCCUGGAUGAAAACUU
rnacentral:lncRNA from 1 species